rnacentral:siRNA from 1 species
UUGGUGGCACUCCUUGCAUAAU